UAAGUGAAACUCUGUUUGAUUUGUCCUGUAGUGGUAAUUAGUGUGCAGAAUUUUGAUUAAUUGUUGUUAGAUUGCAUAAUGAUGACCUGCUAGGCUUUUACCUUAUUGGAUGUUGCAGGAUUUAUUCAAUGAUGAUGACCUGUUACUACAGGUUUAGCAAGGUGAUAGCAUGUUGAGUGGUUAGGUUUUGGAGCAACUUUGAGCAAUGAUAUUGUAUCCCUGCUUCAAGUCUGUAUGGUUUUUUCUCUUCCAAUUUCUGUUGAAACUCAAAACUGAUCAUGUUGGGGCUAUUAUGACAUGUGAAUAGAUGUUGUUAAUAACUAGGCUGAACAUCCAAAUCAGGCCACAGAUAUGAAGUUAUGCAUAUGGAUGACACUUGAAGAAAAUUGCCAUGGGAAAUUAGGGACGUAAGAAGAUGGUAGAUUAGGACUAGUUUUGAUCAUGUUGAAGAUUUGAAAUGGUUUAAUACGAAGUUAUGCAAUGAAUUAUGUAUGGUUGUAAUGUACAUGUAAUUUGUAAUUCCAAUGGGAUUGAAUGCAUGAAGUAGUGGAUUAGUGGUAAUAGAAAUGUGAAUUAGUUUGAAAAUUUUAAUUUUUGGGUUGCAGUUGUAUUGGUGAAUGGAAGUGUAUGGUUGAAUGUUUAUGGUUAGGUGUGUUUACAUGUAUGAAGAUAUUGAAUCAAAUACAAAAUGGAAUUUGGAUCA